rnacentral:rRNA from 2 species
CUGAUCCCUUCCCGAACUCAGAAGUGAAACCUCUUUGCGCUGAUGGUAGUGUGGGGUUACCCAUGUGAGAGUAAGUCAUCGCCAGCUC